rnacentral:rRNA from 1 species
GGAUUUACUGGGUUUAAAGGGGGCGUAGGUGGAUAAUUAAGUCAGGGGGGAAAUCUUCAGGCUUAACCUGGAAACUGCCAUUGAUACUAUUUAUCUUGAAUACUUUGGAGGUAAGCGGAAUAUGUCAUGUAGCGGUGAAAUGCUUAGAUAUGACAUAGAACACCAAUUGCGAAGGCAGCUUACUACACAGUAAUUGACACUGAGGCACGAAAGCGUGGGGAUCAAACAGG